rnacentral:snoRNA from 1 species
UGUGCCCAAAGCAAACACCAGUCAUGUUAAAACAGCGGCGAGUAUCGCGAUCAAUGCGCUCGUCUCUACCUGAAGCAUGGCACA